GACGGCGUGCACAAAGUUGACGGCAACUGUAAAAUGCGCCUUUUAGAUAGUUUUAUACAACCGUGUUUAAAAUAUUUUUGAAUAAGAAUAGGAAUAAGAAUUUUUUUAUGAUAAAAUGAUGAAUGCAUGCCAUUAAAAUCCACAUUACUAGUAAGGUAAAUUAAAAUUUAAUCUAUAAAGCACGAAACGGCAUAUAGAAAACAGCAAAAAUACGAUGUAACUUGUAACAUUAAAUAAGCAUAAAUUAGAGUUUUUCGCCUAAAACUUAUACAAAUUCAACAUAUUUCCCUGCAUUUUCGUAUUACAGAAUUGUUCGGAUUCGGACUCGGAC
rnacentral:lncRNA from 1 species